rnacentral:rRNA from 1 species
CGGGCCAGCAUCGGUUCGGGCGGCCGGAUAAAGGUCCCGGGAAUGUACCUACCUCUCGGGGGAGACUUAUAGCCCGGGGCGCCAUGCGGCCGGCCGGGCCCGAGGACCGCGCUUCGGCUAGGAUGCUGGCGUAAUGGUUGUAAGCGACCCGUCUUGAAACACGGACCAAGGAGUCUAACAUCUAUGCGAGUGUUUGGGUGUCAAACCCAUGCGCGGAAUGAAAGUGAACGGAGGUGGGAACCCUGCACCAUCGACCGAUCCUUCUUCGGAUGGAUUUGAGUAAGAGCAUAGCUGUUGGGACCCGAAAGAUGGUGAACUAUGCCUGAAUAGGGUGAAGCCAGAGGAAACUCUGGUGGAGGCUCGCAGCGGUUCUGACGUGCAAAUCGAUCGUCAAAAUGGGUAUAGGGCGAAAGACUAUC